rnacentral:rRNA from 1 species
GAUGAACGCUGGCGGCGUGCCUAAUACAUGCAAGUCGAACGAAACUUCUUUAUCACCGAGUGCUUGCACUCACCGAUAAAGAGUUGAGUGGCGAACGGGUGAGUAACACGUGGGCAACCUGCCCAAAAGAGGGGGAUAACACUUGGAAACAGGUGCUAAUACCGCAUAACCAUAGUUACCGCAUGGUAACUAUGUAAAAGGUGGCUAUACUACCGCUUUUGGAUGGGCCCGCGGCGCAUUAGCUAGUUGGUAGGGUAAAGGCUUACCAAGGCAAUGAUGCGUAGCCGAAUUGAGAGGUUGAUCGGCCACAUUGGGACUGAGACACGGCCCAAACUCCGACGGGAGGCAGCAGUAGGGAAUCUUCCACAAGGGGCGAAAGCCUGAUGGAGCAACGCCGCGUGGGUGAAGAAGGUCUUCGGAUCGUAAAACCCUGUUGUUAGAGAAGAAAGUGCGUGAGAGUAACGGUUCACGUUUCGACGGUAUCUAACCAGAAAGCCACGGCUAACUACGU